rnacentral:rRNA from 1 species
AUGGCCCAUUCGUUCGUCCUGCUCGACCGCGACGUUGAUUUCUCCUUCCACGAGGCGGCAACCGGCGGAGGCGGCGGAGAGUCAAUCCGCUCCGCGUGGGAAGGAAUACACGGGCUACAGAGCCAGCAAGAGCUUCGUGACGCAGUCACCGAGUACAUGGGGACCUUCAAGGCACGCGCAGUCAUCGCCGACCCGCCGGAACUCUCCUCCCUCCACAUACUGGUGCCGACGGAAUACCUCGGGCUCCCACCGCAACCCCAGGACAUGCACUCGGCCUUCAUCUCCAGCGCGGACAAGAACCUAGUCGCCAUCUGCGCCGGCGAUUGCCGCCCUGGCACCCGGAUGAUAGAGAUAGGAGGCUACCUGGUCUACGACGCCAGCAAGGACUCCCUCUCCGUGGUCCCCAAGCUUCUCGACCACGACUUUCAUGCGGCCAUCGGGUGCCAGUCGGCCGUCGUCAUGUGCAACGGGGACGACGGCGGCUAUUUUCUUGCGGAACUCGUCUGGGUCAGGCCAGAACUCUCCCAAGCAGCGAUCUGGCUGUGGAAGUCGUCCGCCCCAGAAUCAGGAUGGGCCUUUCAGCCCACGCGCCUGCACCUUCCGUCGGCCUUCUGCUCUCACUUGUGUUUCUCUUAUCGGGGAUCAACCCUCUGCUGGGUGGACCUGCUCGGUGGCAUGGUGGUGUGUGAUCUGGGCAAAGAGUGCAGCAGCAACUUGGACGGCCCGGAUCUCCGUUUCGUCGCGUUGCCCGCAGAUUGUCCGUCCUAUGAUACCAGCAGCCCCUGUAAUCGGUACCACCUCUGCCCCGAGAAGUUCCGUUCCAUGGCAUGCGUUGGCGACACCAUCAAGCUCGUCUGCAUGGACAGCAAUGUUGAACAAGUGCCGGCCAAAGGCUUUGAUCUCACCGUCUAUGCUCUCUCGCCUGACCUGUCAGACUGGAAAAUAAGCAGCAAGUACAAUGUUGAAAACAUAUGGGCAAACGAGUCCUACCAUUCUACUGGCAUGCCAAAGAUUGCUCCGUCGUUCCCUGUCCUGAGCACCCAUGAAGACGGCGUCAUCUACCUAGUCUUCACCGAACUGAUCAGGGUGGCAAAUGAUACGCUACAGCGCCCGGGCAGGUCCAAACUAUGCCAGUAUUUGGUUCGUGUCGACAUGGAGAGCAACAAGGUCCAGUUCUAUCCACAGAUUAAAAAGUGUACUAUUGAUCCCCAUAUCUUGGGCAGUGAGUUCAGUGCGUACCAAAAGCUA